rnacentral:lncRNA from 1 species
AAUUAUUUAUAAAAAAAUAAUGCUAUACUUUUUUUUGAGAGAUAGGUAGCAAGCUACCCGCUUCGUUUAUUUCAUUUAGAAAAUAAACUUAGCUGGAAUUAUGAAUCAACUAAGAUUCGAACUUGGGUCUCGAGUACCAACCACCAAACCCUUUGCCACUUGCUCUAGGGAUGGUCGGUAAAUAAUGCUAUACUUACGAACAUCUUACAAACUAUUUAAAUACUCAAACAUUUGAUUUCUACGGUCUCACGGAACAACAAAAACAUAACUAUACAUUU